rnacentral:lncRNA from 1 species
GUUUGGAAGUCCUGGCACACCAUAGUUGGGUUCUCUGCUUCAGGGUCUCACCGGGCUGCAGUCAAGGUACUAACUGGGCUGUGUUCUCAUCUGAAAGCUCAUCUAGGGAAAAAUCUGCUUCCAGGCUCUAUCAGGUUGUUGGCAGAAAGCACUUCUCUGCAGCUCUAUGACUGAGGGCCCUGUCUUCUUACUGACUGUUGGCUAGAGGCUUCCUUCAAGCCCUAGAGACUGCCUAUAGUUCCUAAAAGCUGCCCACAGUUCUUGCCACAUGGCAGCUUGAAUUUUCAAAGCCAGCAGGAUAAUCUUUCUCUCUCCAGUCUGCUAAAAUGGAGUCUUAAAUAAUGUAAUAUAAUCAGGAGAGUGACAUUGCAUCCAGCACCACUGCCAUAUUCUAUUGGUUAGAAGCAAGUCAUCAGUUCUGUCUGCACUCAAAGAUAGGGGAUCAUAGACGGGUAUGACCCAAUGGAGGUCAGUUUAGGGUACCACCACAGCCAUGUUAUUUUUGGGAGGAUGUAUCCUUCUGUGCUUUUUUCUAUGAUUGCAUACACAUAUUACAUUACAAAUACAGUGUAAAUUGAUUUUUUCAUUUUGUCAGUAUUCUUUAAAAAUCUGAUUUUUGAGUGACAUCAGCAUCAUAGCAGAAUGAGUUGUUCCCUUUGUCUCUCCCCUCUAAGUUACAACCAGUAGGACAUCUACAGACCAACAAAGGAUUCUCUGCAUAGCACACCAGAACGCCUGAGAGAUCCAUACAUCUAUACAUCUAAAGAGUUAUUCAUAGUAGCCAAGACUUGGAUGCAACCUAAAUGCCCAUCAACAGAUGAACAGAGAAAGAAGAUGUGAUAAACACAAUGGAAUACUACUCACCCAUAAAAAAGAUGAAACCUUGCCACUUACAACAAUGUGGAUGGACCUUGAGGGUAUUAUGGAGGUACCUUUCUGGCUUCUCUGUUGAACAUUUCUCACAUAGAGUUUCUGCAUCAUUUGGUCAUGGCGAGUGGACGAAAGCAAAAGAGGUUGGAGAAAUAGAGAGUGAUGAGGCUGAAACAGGAACUGGCUGCAGCAGAGGCUAAUGAUUUCAGAGCAUCUGAUGAAAUAGGUCUGAUUCUUGAACAAAGUGGAGGAAAAAGGAUGCCGUAUGAUUAAGUAAAAAGUCAUCCUUCUUCCUGAGCCACUUCUUCCUAUUCCUCUUCCGUUUUACCACCUUCUUUUGAAAUGAGAUUUCUC